rnacentral:rRNA from 1 species
AUUGAACGCUGGCGGCAGGCUUAACACAUGCAAGUCGAGCGGAGCGAGGGUGCUUGCACCUUAGCUUAGCGGCGGACGGGUGAGUAAUGCUUAGGAAUCUGCCUAUUAGUGGGGGACAACAUUCCGAAAGGGAUGCUAAUACCGCAUACGCACUACGGGGGAAAGCAGGGGAUCUUCGGACCUCGCGCUAAUAGAUGAGCCUAAGUCGGAUUAGCUAGUUUGUGGGGUAAAGGCCUACCAAGGCGACGAUCUGUAGCGGGUCUGAGAGGAUGAUCCGCCACACUGGGACUGAGACACGGCCCAGACUCCUACGGGAGGCAGCAGUGGGGAAUAUUGGACAAUGGGCGGAAGCCUGAUCCAGCCAUGCCGCGUGUGUGAAGAAGGCCUUUUGGUUGUAAAGCACUUUAAGCGAGGAGGAGGCUACUAGUAUUAAUACUACUGGAUAGUGGACGUUACUCGCAGAAUAAGCACCGGCUAACUCUGUGCCAGCCGCCGCCGUAA